CCUACGGGUGGCAGCAGUGAGGAAUAUUGGUCAAUGGGCGGAAGCCUGAACCAGCCAAGUCGCGUGCGGGAUGAAGGCCCUACGGGUCGUAAACCGCUUUUGUACGGGGAUAACACCCUCCACUUGUGGAUGUCUGCAGGUACCGUACGAAUAAGGGUCGGCUAAUUCCGUGCCAGCAGCCGCGGUAAUACGGAAGGCCCGAGCGUUAUCCGGAUUCAUUGGGCUUAAAGGGUGCGUAGGCGGGCGUUCAAGUCAGCGGUAAAAUCGCGCGGCUCAACCGCGCCCCGCCGUUGAAACUGGACGCCUUGAGUUCACAAGAGGCAGGCGGAAUUCGUGGUGUAGCGGUGAAAUGCAUAGAGAUCACGAGGAACCCCGAUUGCGAAGGCAGCCUGCCGGGGUGCGACUGACGCUGAGGCUCGAAGGUGUGGGUAUCAAACAGGAUUAGAUACCCUUGUAGUC
rnacentral:rRNA from 1 species